GACGAACGCUGGCGGCGGGCUUAACACAUGCAAGUCGAACGGAAAGGCCCUGCUUUUGUGGGGUGCUCGAGUGGCGAACGGGUGAGUAACCCGUGAGUAACCUGCCCUGGACUUUGGGAUAACUUCAGGAAACUGGGGCUAAUACCGGAUAGGAGCUCCUGCUGCAUGGUGGGGGUUGGAAAGUUUCGGCGGUUGGGGAUGGACUCGCGGCUUAUCAGCUUGUUGGUGGGGUAGUGGCUUACCAGGGCUUUGACGGGUAGCCGGCCUGAGAGGGGGACCAGCCACAUGGGGACUGCGAUACGGCGCAGACUGCUACGGUAGGCAGCAGGGGGGAACAUGGUACAAUGGGCGGAAGUCUGAGGCAGCAACGCCGCGUGUGGGAUGACGGCCAUCGUGUUGUAAAGCGCAGUAGCUUGUGACGAAGCGGGAGUGACGUUAAUGGGUAAAGAAGCACCGGCUAACUACGUG
rnacentral:rRNA from 1 species